GAGAUAAGUAAGUCAAGUUGAAUAUUUCUUGUGAUAAUAACAUGUCAGAUUGAAGUCUUAAAGUACUAAUCAAAAAAGUUGAAGGGUUAUAGUGUUAGUGAAUACCACUUUUAAAGGUUUUUAUGCAAUUUUUUACAUGUUAAUUUGUAGCAGUUAAACAAAAGUUACAAGGGUUUAUUUUUAGCAAGCAUGGACGUUUGAGUUUUCGGGUCAAGUUCGAGCCGGUUUCUUUCGGGUCCGAAUCCUUUGGAACUUAGACAUUUGGAUCCAAUAAGUAUUUAUAAAUUUUUGGUUCGGGUUCGAGUCGGUUCUUUUCGGAUCCGGAUCGGUUCGGCUCUAUAAGUAAAAUACCCGUAAAGUACCUGUAAUUUUUCGGAUCCGUAUCGGGUCCAUAUCAGGUUUAGGAUCUUAAAAUGACAUGAAAUAUCCAAACUCCAUCAAAUUCAGUCAAUAUUUGUCAAUAUAUCUAAAUUUUUACAAAACAACUUAAAUUAAACUAUUAAUAAUUAAAAUAAAAUAUUUUUAAACUCUAAAUUUUACAUUUUAAAAUUUCUUCUAUCUUAUUAAAAUAGAAAUACACUUAGAAAUUACUCCUAAUUUUUUAAAGUUAUUUACAUUACAACGCACUAAGGCUUUAAAUCAUCUUUCUUUUUAAUAAUGUUGUCCCUCCGAUUAGUUAAUGAAUAUUCCUAACUAGAAUUUUCCCUACCAAAAUCUAUACAAUACUAAAAGCAAGAUAUAAGCCAUGGAGAGGCAUGCCACAUAGGAUUAAAAAUUCGGACCAAUCAGAGAUUGGCUUUCUGCCAUGUCAUUUGAGCUGAGUUAUAAUGAGCAUUUCGUGUGGGCUUUGUAAAAACAAUAAUUCAGCCCAUCACCACCCUUUUGACAAAUUCUUUUACGGCUCAAGUUUUGAGAGUCAAUAACUCUUCCACUCCGUCUUCUCCUUUUUUUUGUCAAUCUUUUUGUUUUUUUGUCAAUCCCACUCCGUCUUCUCCAAUCCAUGAGUUUUAACGUUAAUUUGAACUUCUCCUCAUCAAUCAAUUAUCAACUUUAAAUUCUUCUUCAGUUUUUCGUUCCGCCUCCCCUUUCUACUCCUCCUACAUAAAGCCAUAUGUGUAAACCUAAUUGUAUAAAUGGCAAGCAAAAUCUCAAAAUCGCAAAAUCAAGCACCCCGUCGCUGUCAACCACAAAGUAUCAAUAUUGUGAAACACGUAAGAAAAUGGCAUGGAGCAAUCGCUUUCUUCAAAAUCUCCACCAUGGCCUUACCUUAUCUUCCAAGAACCAUCAAGAGGUUGAGAGACUUUUAAUGCCUCAAAAAGAUGGAGAUCGUUAGUUUUCUCUGCGGCUCCAUCCCUGUUCUCGCAGAGUGAGUGUUCUGAGGUGCCACAAGCUUCCAUUAGAGACAUAUCUUAAUCAGCCUCCACUGCUGACUGAUUUUCCCUUAAAAAACUUUUACUCCUUGCCGCAAUUACGUUUAGGAUAACGUGAGGGGAAACAAGCCGUCUGUUCUCGACGAUUACUAUUCCGGCUGGUAAGAAGUCUUCUCGGGUGGUUUCACGGAAGAGGAAAUGUCUAAUAUAUGAUGAACUGAUAAUUCCAAGCAAUGUAGAAUUAUGAAGGAAAUGACAGAAGACACAAAUACAUUGGUCAUAAAACUGAGAAAGGUUCCUCAUACUGACUAUCAUGAGAGAAGAAUCAAACGUUUUGCUGAUCUAUCAUGAAGUUCAGGGGAAAAAAAUGGGAAGAACAUUCAAGCUGGUUGAUGACCAACUUUGUCCGUGGUUUUUGGCAUUGCAGGUUUCACACAAACGAGCUAGAAAUCUACUCUUACUUGUGUGGCUGCUUAUGGUAUAGAUAAAAAAUGUUGUAGACCUGCAUUACUUAUUUAUGUGAUAACAUGAAGCUUUUUUGUUUCACUUUCUAGCUAUUGCUUUGUCAAACUUUGCAUUUUGUUUUCUUGGCUUGGGGUUGUUUCUUCUACUGCAAACCGAGGUUUUAGUAAGGAUUUUUUACUAUGUAAUACUGAUUCAUUUCGUAGUUAGGUUUAUUAUGUGUUAAACGUUGGAAAAUGUAAGAUUUAGAGGAAGAAUGGAAAAAAAACCUUUUACCCAAGGUUAAGUU